rnacentral:rRNA from 1 species
AUGGCAGGGAAGCACCGCAUAAGUCGCCAGUACUAUGAGGAACCACGAGGAUUUCGUGAUGGUCCUCCUCCUCGACUUGCACGAGAAAGGUCUAUCUGACCACGUCGCUUCGAGGGAGAGCUGUCUAGCCGCCGUGAUGAGAUACGCAGAAUCCGUGAUGACAACCAACAUCUGAUGGAUGAAAUUGUUGGACUCAGGCAAGCAAUGUCUCAUUUGAAAGAAGAUCUCUAUUCAUCGAGUCAGGCUAUACCUAAGCUCCGCGCAGAGAAAGAACUUGAAUCGAGGGAGCUGACUCAGAGGAAUCUGAAGCUGGAAGCUGAGCUACGCUCUUUAGAACCCCAUAGGCAAGAUGCCUUGCAGCUACGAUCUGAAGCAGGCACGCUGUAGUCUUUGAGGCAAGAGUUGACUGAAAAGGUGCAGGGUCUAGCAAAGGAGGUUGAGCAUCAGAAGUCUGAAAAGCAGCGCAUACCUGCCAUGCUAGCUGAACGAGAUGGUCUGCGACAGGAACUAAUUCGUACCAGGGCCGCUCUUGAUUAUGAAAAGAAUGCAAAGGCAGAGCUGAUGGCACAGGUGCAGGCAGUGGAGAAGGAUCUUGUAACUAUGGCUCAGGAGUCUGAGAAGCUUAGGGCUGAGCUUGAGAAGAGAAAGCCACCUAGUUUCAGCGGCCAUGGAGCUUACGGACCACCUAUGACAACUCUUGGGAUGGGCUUGCAAGACAUCUACGACAGCGGCUAUUCUUACAGAGAGAACCGCUACGGUGCUGGACCAUGGGACCCCCCUGGCUAUCCGCACCCAUGA